AGAAUCAACGCUGGCGGCGUGCCUAACACAUGCAAGUCGAACGAGAAAGUGGAGCAAUCCAUGAGUAAAGUGGCGCACGGGUGAGUAACACGUGACUAACCUACCCUUGAGUGGGGGAUAACCUAGGGAAACCUGGGCUAAUACCGCAUAAUACCGAGAGGUCAAAGGAGCAAUUCGCUUAAGGAGGGGGUCGCGGCCGAUUAGCUAGUUGGUGGGGUAAAGGCCUACCAAGGCGACGAUCUGUAGCUGGUCUGAGAGGACGACCAGCCACACUGGGACUGAGACACGGCCCAGACUCCUACGGGAGGCAGCAGUGGGGAAUUUUGGACAAUGGGGGAAACCCUGAUCCAGCAAUGCCGCGUGUGUGAAGAAGGCCUCGGGUUGUAAAGCACUUUUGUCCGGAAAGAAACUUCUGCCCUAAUACGGUGGGAGGAGUGACGGUACCGGAAGAAUAAGCACCGGCUAACUACGUGCCAGCAGCCGC
rnacentral:rRNA from 1 species